CCUACGGGUGGCAGCAGUGGGGAAUAUUGCACAAUGGGGGAAACCCUGAUGCCGCGACGCCGCGUGAGUGAAGAAGUCUUUCGGUAUGUAAAGCUCUAUCAGCAGGGAAGAAGAAAGACGGUACCUGACUAAGAAGCCCCGGCUAACUACGUGCCAGCAGCCGCGGUAAUACGUAGGGGGCAAGCGUUAUCCGGAUUUACUGGGUUUAAAGGGAUCGUAGACGGCUGGUGAAGUAUGAAGUGAAAGCCCAGGUCUCAACCCUGGGACUGCUUUGGAAACUGUGGAGCUAGAGUGCUGGAGAGGUAAGUAGAAUUCCUAGUGUAGCGGUGAAAUGCGUAGAGAUUUGGAGGAACACCAGUGGCGAAGGCGGCUUACUGGACAGUAACUGACGUUGAGGUUCGAAAGCGUGGGGAGCAAACAGGAUUAGAUACCCCAGUAGUC
rnacentral:rRNA from 1 species